CAUAAGCAGAGGAGAGCAAGGCGAGAUCGUGCAUGCACGAAAAAGCUUUUAUAUUACCGACCCGCCCAAACAUGAGAAAGAAGCGAUUUACGAAGUAAAUCAGCGGAAUUCGAAUGUUUGCAGAAUUGCGGGAGCAGCGAAGCUGCGGAGCAAUUCGCAGUG
rnacentral:sRNA from 10 species